rnacentral:rRNA from 2 species
AGAGUUUGAUCAUGGCUCAGAUUGAACGCUGGCGGCAGGCCUAACACAUGCAAGUCGAACGGUAACAGAAAGCAGCUUGCUGCUUUGCUGACGAGUGGCGGACGGGUGAGUAAUGUCUGGGAAACUGCCCGAUGGAGGGGGAUAACUACUGGAAACGGUAGCUAAUACCGCAUAACGUCGCAAGACCAAAGAGGGGGACCUUCGGGCCUCUUGCCAUCGGAUGUGCCCAGAUGGGAUUAGCUAGUAGGUGGGGUAACGGCUCACCUAGGCGACGAUCCCUAGCUGGUCUGAGAGGAUGACCAGCCACACUGGAACUGAGACACGGUCCAGACUCCUACGGGAGGCAGCAGUGGGGAAUAUUGCACAAUGGGCGCAAGCCUGAUGCAGCCAUGCCGCGUGUAUGAAGAAGGCCUUCGGGUUGUAAAGUACUUUCAGCGGGGAGGAAGGGAGUAAAGUUAAUACCUUUGCUCAUUGACGUUACCCACAGAAGAAGCACCGGCUAACUCCGUGCCAGCAGCCGCGGUAAUACGGAGGGUGCAAGCGUUAAUCGGAAUUACUGGGCGUAAAGCGCACGCAGGCGGUUUGUUAAGUCAGAUGUGAAAUCCCCGGGCUCAACCUGGGAACUGCAUCUGAUACUGGCAAGCUUGAGUCUCGUAGAGGGGGGUAGAAUUCCAGGUGUAGCGGUGAAAUGCGUAGAGAUCUGGAGGAAUACCGGUGGCGAAGGCGGCCCCCUGGACGAAGACUGACGCUCAGGUGCGAAAGCGUGGGGAGCAAACAGGAUUAGAUACCCUGGUAGUCCACGCCGUAAACGAUGUCGACUUGGAGGUUGUGCCCUUGAGGCGUGGCUUCCGGAGCUAACGCGUUAAGUCGACCGCCUGGGGAGUACGGCCGCAAGGUUAAAACUCAAAUGAAUUGACGGGGGCCCGCACAAGCGGUGGAGCAUGUGGUUUAAUUCGAUGCAACGCGAAGAACCUUACCUGGUCUUGACAUCCACGGAAGUUUUCAGAGAUGAGAAUGUGCCUUCGGGAACCGUGAGACAGGUGCUGCAUGGCUGUCGUCAGCUCGUGUUGUGAAAUGUUGGGUUAAGUCCCGCAACGAGCGCAACCCUUAUCCUUUGUUGCCAGCGGUCCGGCCGGGAACUCAAAGGAGACUGCCAGUGAUAAACUGGAGGAAGGUGGGGAUGACGUCAAGUCAUCAUGGCCCUUACGACCAGGGCUACACACGUGCUACAAUGGCGCAUACAAAGAGAAGCGACCUCGCGAGAGCAAGCGGACCUCAUAAAGUGCGUCGUAGUCCGGAUUGGAGUCUGCAACUCGACUCCAUGAAGUCGGAAUCGCUAGUAAUCGUGGAUCAGAAUGCCACGGUGAAUACGUUCCCGGGCCUUGUACACACCGCCCGUCACACCAUGGGAGUGGGUUGCAAAAGAAGUAGGUAGCUUAACCUUCGGGAGGGCGCUUACCACUUUGUGAUUCAUGACUGGGGUGAAGUCGUAACAAGGUAACCGUAGGGGAACCUGCGGUUGGAUCACCU